CCUCGUGUCGCCACAGGGUGGCGCUGUGACACUAACCUCCUCUCCACUCCCGCCGGCUUCCAGCUGGCGCUGCGGCAGGAAACUGGUCCCCUCCAGACUGCCAAGGCUUGCGUGUCGGGUUACCAAGAGCGACCGGGCAGCCAGACACCCUCCAAGCAUUCAUCCGGCAGAUAAUGAGGAAACAGGCCCCAGCUUUGUACCCAUCUGUAAGGCCAAACAGCUACAGGCUGGCAAGAUGACUCUGUGGGUCAAGGUACUCGCCACCAUGCGUAACCACCUGAGUUCAGUGCCCACCACCCACACGGUGGAAGGAGACAGCCGAUGCCUACAAGCUGUCUUCUAAACUCCACACCUGUGCCACGGCACGUGCAGCACCCAUACCCAAUAAAUGUAAAAAAUUACGAAACAACACUUAUUUUCCUUGGUUUGCUAUCUUCAGAGAAGUUCCUGAAUCUGCACCCAGUGCUAACGGUUCAGUGUUAACCAGCUGACCCUGGCCACUGAGCCACACUCUUGUUGGCGAUGACCACAGCCUUGAGUCCAUUCUCCUUUCUCAGUCUUGGCCCAAGAAUGUCACCAUUCAUAGUUACUUGACACCACAACCGGUAAUCGGUGUUGGUUAGAAACCUCCUGAGAUGGGGCAGGCAGCUCGAUUGCCUUUUUCCUCUUGCAAGUUAACCACAAUCAUAUGAACUAAUAGUGGGGAAAAUAAGGCAAACAUUUUAAAGGAUUUGAUAUCCUGAGAGAGCUUCACUUUGAAACAGCGAGACGGCACUCUCUGCCGAUCAGAGCAGACAAAGCCUGUCGGAUCCUGACAACACACGGUGCUGAGGACCCGCAGCAGCAGGGAUGCUCUCACGUCCUGGGAACUUGGAAUGCCGCAGCCGCGUUGGGAGACUGCUUGGCAGCCUCUUAAGACGCCAAAUGUGCUGAUAUCAUACGAGCCAUCUUGCUCCAUGGUAUUGACCGAAGAGCUGAAAAGCACACACAUGCCCACACGCUGACGUUUACCAACGCUUUACUCAUAACUACCGAAAUGUGGAAGCAGCCUCAGUGUUUCUCCGGUGAUCCGACAAGACCACGGGACAUUUCAGCACCAAAAGGACACCAGCAAGACAGGCAAGACAGAGAAAACGUGUCUACAUCUGUUACCAAGUGGAAAGGCCACCCGAUUCCAGCGGACAUUCCAGAAACAAGCAACACUUAGAGUGGGAGGAAGAUGACAUUGGCAGAGGUCAGGGGUCGGAGGGAUGAAUAGGCAGAGCACGGAGGAUCUGACGCCAGGAAAAUGUUCUUCAGGAUCUACAGUGCUGUGUGUGUGGCAUCUUACCAUUCACAAACCCACGACACGUAACAGCAGGCGUGAAGGGCACUGGAAACUGACUCUGGGUCAGUCUCAGUGGGGGCUCACUGGUCACAGCCAAUGUGCCGCCUGGUACUCUGUGUGCCCAUGUGGAACAGGAGUCCCCGAGAAUGCUAUACUUUCCGCUCCACUUGCUUUGAACCUAAUGCUGCUCUAAAAAUCUGUUCAAGUGUGCAUGGUAUGGUGGUGUGGUCUCUGCUACGUGAGACCCUGUUUCAAAAACAAGAAAGCAAACGAACAAAGCCAGGUGUGGUGAUCCCAGAAGUUGGAAGACCAAGGCAAGACAAUUGCCAAAGAUGGAGGAGGGCAUCCUGGUCUACAUAGUGAGUCCCGGGCCGGUCGGAGCUAAAGAGAUAUAUCCUGCCUCAAAAAACAAAAAAAGGAAACAUCUCCCAAACUAAGCAAAUAAAUAUAAAGUCAUGGUA